rnacentral:tRNA from 1 species
GUUGUGGCUCAGUGGUAAAGUGCUUGCUUAGCAUGCAUGAAGCACUGGGUUUGAUCCCUAGCAUCACA